rnacentral:rRNA from 1 species
CCUACGGGUGGCAGCAGUGGGGAAUAUUGCACAAUGGGCGCAAGCCUGAUGCAGCCAUGCCGCGUGUAUGAAGAAGGCCUUUGGGUUGUAAAGUACUUUCAGCGGGGAGGAAGGCGAUAAGGUUAAUAACCUUGUCGAUUAGCGUUACCCGCAGAAGAAGCACCGGCUAACUCCGUGCCAGCAGCCGCGGUAAUACGGAGGGUGCAAGCGUUAAUCGGAAUUACUGGGCGUAAAGCGCACGCAGGCGGUCUGUCAAGUCGGAUGUGAAAUCCCCGGGCUCAACCUGGGAACUGCAUUCGAAACUGGCAGGCUAGAGUCUUGUAGAGGGGGGUAGAGUUCCAGGUGUAGCGGUGAAAUGCGUAGAGAUCUGGAGGAAUACCGGUAGCGAAGGCGGCCCCCUGGACAAAGACUGACGCUCAGGUGCGAAAGCAUGGGGAGCAAACAGGAUUAGAUACCCCUGUAGUC